rfam:Acyrthosiphon pisum strain LSR1 Contig40444, whole genome shotgun sequence.
AAAAUGGUCCUUUUCAGGACUACCAAACAUAACAGCAUGGCAAUGU